CUACACCAAGUCCACACAGAUCGACACCACAAGCCCUCAUCCUCCGCUGCCCAUCUGCCAAAGCAAACAAGAACACACAAGACAGUUCAGGCAGGCAUGGAUGCAGAGUUCACCUGAGUUGGGAGGGACUGACUAGCCAACCAUGCAAAUGCAAGCAGGGCGGAGAAUUAGUAGCCGAUGUCGGCGCCGUCGUCGACCAAGGUCGCCGUUGAUGCCGGGGAUAGGUAUCGAUCACACGGUGUUAUGGGCCCUGGUCAAGAUCGCAGGAGGAGACGCUUCAAUCUGGCGAGAUCCCGGCUCUCGUUGCUGCUCUCUCGGAGGUGGAUCUCAUCUGGGAUAAUAUAUAUGGCAGAAUUUCCAAGGAAAUGCACGGUUGCCUUGUCGGCUGAGUGUAACUUCCAGGUCGCAACCUUUGUACGAGCAGCCGAAUGAGCAGGAACGAGUACACAUCACAUUUUAUUGACUCAUGCGUGGGUGGUGUAAACAACGGAAAUGAUUUGCGUACGACGAUGCAUGUCCGAAGCACGUACGACGAUGCAUCCGCAUCGUGAGCUAGCUAACCCGUUGAAAGACAUACGGCUUGAUUUGAUGGUCGUACGUGGUUCGGAUGAGAAUCGUCGUACGUGUAGCACUGCUCAGUCUUGGGUGGUGUAAACAAAGUCUUCUUAGGGUAUGUACAAUGGUUGAUAAGAUAGUUUUAUUUCAAGUUUUACAUGUAAUUUAUAGAUGAUAAAAAAAGUCUUACAAUGAAUCACCUCUUAAUUGUUCUCUCUUAAAUAAGAAAAGACAAAUUUUUUUUAUGAGUUAUCUUUCCUCCACCUCAUCAUUUAUCUUACAUGACACUACUAAGAUAGCAUCAUUGUACAUGUCCUUAUGUGACAGGAAAAAAAAACCAACAGCCCUACCAGGAAAUAAAACAAACGUGUGAAGCACGUGUUGUGCAUGAGAGUGAUUUUGUUUUCUUAACUCAUGCCUUUUGGUUUAUUGCACUAUCUUUCUUUUAACACGCAAGCGUUUAUAUACACGUACAUAGACUGAGCCGGCAUAUCAUGAAAUUUAUGAAUAAAUUCAGAAAUAAAUGCGAACAUCAGGAUUUAAACCCUGAUGAGCUAUGAAUAUCACAAUCUCUCUAACCAUCCAACCACAGACUGGUUCGCAUUGUACUCUUCGUCGUACUAUCUUUUCAAUGUGUUACUUGUUGUCCUUAAUAAUUAUCAUAUCUAAGAUGCCCUUUGGGUGUGUUUCGUACUAUGAAAAAGGGUCCUGCAUGGAUAGAGAGAGCGUGUGCUGACGAGACAGCAUAAAAUGUUUCACCAGUUAGUUAAUAGAGUGUCACAUAAAUAAAAUACAUAGUCCGGGUAGGAAAAAUACUCCACGAUGCUUGAGUGCCCUUGACCAAAGCCUAGCGCCCUCGAUCGCCCCAUCCUUUCCUCCCUGGCUACUACCUCAGAUCACCGCCAAUCCGCAUGACUUCCAAGGACGACAGCGGCGAAGCUCCCUCCUUGAGCAACACCUUGGUACUUGUACGCCUCUUCCUACUGAGCGACGUCGUUGUGCUCUCCGUUGGUUCCUUGGUGGUUGCGUUUUUCUGUUGCCAUUUUUGUUGGCGAUGCUCCGCCCCUCCUUUGGACGGAGCAUUGCCAGUAUAUGGACUUUUUUUUAGAAUAACUGCAUAUUUUUUAACCAGCAAAUGUUACAAACAUAGCACAUACAUAACAUCGCUGAGAGAGCACGAGAGACCAAAGGUGUCCCAACACAAAUGCAAAAAGGUCUCAAAAAGGAGAAAAUACAAUCUGAACCCCCGGGGGCCUUAAUGCAUGAAGAACCAACACCAGUCGCUGACCGCCGCCAUCGACGACGAGACGAACGGCGAAGGAGGACGCCAGAAACCAUCAAACCCUGAGCCGAGGGCACACCAUCACUGAAAAGGGCUUUCUGAGUCGAAGAUGAGCCCGGUCGCAAACGGUGAGGCAUAGCCGUUGUGGCACGUCGACCGGGGAAAGUCCCCGUGCAAAUCCUCGGCUCCAGUUUCGGCACCUCCGUUGGACGAAGUCGAAGGAGAAUUACCAGAUCUACCGCCACAAACCACCACGAGAGUGUUGAGUCACCAAGUCUCUCGCCAACAGCCGCGGUCACCGCACGGGCCGGUGACCAACGCUGGCCCGAGCACUCCUAUACAAGACUCUGUCGGCUUCCCAUCGACACUGAAGAACGUGUCGAUGUGGCAGAGACGAAGCCGAGGGAACAAAACUCCCGAUGUCCCCUGCUUGACCAAAUCCGAGCACGCCAAGCCUGUCGCCGCACACGUCGGCCAGGCCAAACCUAACCUCACCGCCCAAGACGAGCGGCAGGAAUCUACGCCGAGCAGCGCCCGAGGAAACACCACCGAGACGGAGGCGGAACCGGAGGACAAAAGGCACGAGCUGGGCAGCCGUCGCCGCCUCGUCGACCCAGCCCCACCACCCAGAUAUCGCCAGCCACGCGAAACCUGCGAGCAGACCGAAGCUCCCAGCCUUCUCGCCCACCGCAACGCAUACCACCGCGUUGGGGAGAGAGCAGGGGCACCCUUAUUAGCCGCACUCGCCAUUCCCACCGGAGAUGCGAAAACGACCAGCCACCACCAAGCUACAAAGCCUACCUAGACUACACCUGUACAAGCCAUGCCCCCGGAUCCGACGACCCCAACCUGCACCGAAGAGCAUGAAGUCCCGGGGGAGAUGGCGUCGCCGGAUCCAAAGCCGGCAAAGGAGUCGCCUCUCACUAGUGGAAAACGGGCCUUUGGCCAGGACCCUUUAGUCCCGGCCUGCCUCUGGGCCGGGACUAAAGGCCCGGCCACGUCGCCCCAAUUCUCAAUGCCUCCCUCGAGGCUUUAGUCCCGGCCCGUAAGGAGCCUUUAGUCCCGGUUCAUGUUCCAAACCGGGACUAAAGGGCUACGCGGCGGGUAGUGGUGGUGGCAACCGUUCGUAUCCCCCUUUAGUCCCGGUUGGUGGCUCAACCCGGGACUAAAUCCCUAACCCGUGCCCUGCCGUAGUGGUGGUAACCGUUGGUAUACCUCUUUAGUCCCGGUUGGUGGCUCAACCCGGGACUAAAUCCCUAACACGUGGCCUGCCGUAGUGGUGGUAACCGUUGGUAUACCUCUUUAGUCCCGGUUGGUGGCUCACCCCGGGACUAAAUCCCUAACCCGUGCCCUGCCGUAGUGGUGGUAACCGUUGGUAUACCUCUUUAGUCCCGGUUGGUGGCUCAACCCGGGACUAAAGGCCCAAACGGUUUGCAUCCCGCGUCGUUUCGGGCGAUGAAAAGCACGAACCAAAGCAGAGUCGCCAUUUCUCUGUUUCUUCUUCUCUCUCGCUCUCGCUCUGUUCUUCUCCUCUCUUCUUCCAUCAUGCCAACUCGCUUUGGAGAGGUGCUCGCACAUGGCAAGACCAAGCUCGAUGUCGUGUACACGAACGAGAGCAGGGAGAUGCCGUAUUUUCUUGAACAGUUGAAGGAACGAUGGCUUGACGCCGCAAUGGAUCAUGAGAAGUUCUUGGGGCUUGAUCUGGAGUACACGGCCGAUCAACGCGGUGUUGCCGUCAUCCAACUAUGCUUCGCACACCAUGUCUUGAUCUUCCAAUGGGCGAGGUAAGUUUUGAGGCUUUCUUUGAUCCAAGGUAAUGACAUUGUAAGUUUAUUUGUUUCAAUCAUAGUUGGUUCCCUUCAAAUAGUUGUAGUGAAACAAUUUUGAUUAGUUGAAGGGGAACACAAUCUGAUUGGAAUAGUGUUCCAUAAUCUGAAAAAUCGUAUUAGAAUCAACUAGUGUUUAAUAUGUUCCAUUGGAAUCAUAGUUGGUUCGCUUCAAAUAGUUGUAGUGAAACAAUUUUGAUUAGUUGAAGGGAACACAAUCUGAUUGGAAUAGUGUUUCACAAUCUGAAAAAUCUGAUUGGUUCAAUAUGUUCCAUUGAAAUCAUAGUUGUAGUGAUACAAUUUUAUGCGGUGUUAUUUGAUCCAAGGUUAUGAAAAUUGCAUAUAGCUAGUGAUCUCUCUAGGUUCCAUUUGAUAGCAAUAUGAUAUGUCAUAGUCAUGAAAAUUGCAUAUAGCUAGUGAUCUCUCUAGGUUCCAUUGGAUAGCUAUAGUGAUCUCUCUAGGUUCCAUUGCAUAUGUUCUAUUUGAAUCCUAAAGAUAAUUUUCUCUUUAGUUGUAGUGAAACAUGUUUCCUUAUUGCAGCAGUAUGUAACAUUUUCCAUUUUAAUUUGUUUCUGUUGCAGUAGUGACAAGCAUUGUCCAGAACUCAUGGACUUCCUGCGCAGCGGCAUCACUUUUGCUACCGUUGACAUAACGAACGACAAGCUGAAGAUGAGGUACAGCUUCGGUAUUGAGAUACCAACUGGUUGCCUCAUUGAUCUCCAAACGGUAUUCAGGCUUCGACAUGUCAGGACUUCGAUGGCUCAUAUGGCAGUUGCCUUGAUCGACGAGGAAUAUGGUGAUAUGAAGACCAAUUUUCCCAAAGUCUCAGCACAAACUUUGGGAGAAGGCCCCACUUGAUCGUAUCAACAUUGAGUAUGCAACAAAAGAUGCAUACGUUUCAUACGAGUUGUACCGCAAGAUUCGAGUCGUCAACUAUGGCCAGCGUCACCUCGAAUAAGGUGGACAUUCUGAUUCGAGUCGUCAACUAUGAAAACUAAUUCCCGAACACCAAACGAGGCAUCACGUUAAUCUUCCGAACACCUAAACCCUAAAAUCCUAAAACCCAAAAAUAAUUUCAUUCAAAAAAAACCCAAAAAUAAGCAAAAUCUAAAACUCUUUAGUCCCGGUCCGUGUAACGAGCCGGGACUAAAGGGCCUGCCCCUGAGGCGCUACGAGGCGCCCACGUGGAGCAUCUUUAGUCCCGGCUUGUAACAGGGCCGGGACUAAAGGUUAGGCGUCCCGGUUGGUGAACCGGGACUAAAGUCCCUUACGGGCCGGGGCUAAAGGCCCCGUCUCCACUAGUGUCUGGCAGUAUAUGGACUUGUGGUAACCUUUGUUAGGACUUAGGUGCUCCAUCCCUGUUCCUCACCUCUCACCUGAUUUGGACGCCCACCGGUUUGGUCUGGCCUAGUAUCUUUUUCCAGUCAUUUCUCGGUUAGAUGCGGAAGAUUUGCCGCAUGAUCUAGCGAUUGCAUCUGACGUUUUUCUUGACUGGUGAUUAAAGUUGGUCGUUAAGGUCUUGUUGAACGUACGUGUGGACCAAAAUAUGUUUUUAUCUUUGUGACAAGUACAAUGACCGCUGUUGUAUUUAUCUCUCAUCUCAACCCUCAACUAAAUUCUAUGUGAAUUCCUAGUAUCUCUUGCAAUCCCUGGUAUCCAUCAAUUGGUUCUGUCGCGCUCCUAAGUUCUCCUUCCCUCUCCGAUCAUAUAUCUCUUUAGUCGAAUCAUGGCAAGGUCAUGUCAAGACCCAAAUGUUUUUUCAAAAAGAUAGUAUAAACACACACACUCACAUCCAUGAACGCACAUACGCACGUUCUAUUCCUAUAAGCACAUUUGAAAGGCUGAGCCGGCGGAUGUUAAGAUUGACAAAGUCACAACAAACGUCACAUCACUCUAUGGACAGAAACAUUGCCUCCCAUUGAGAGUACAUUUCGCGUUUAUCACACACCAAAGCAUCAACAUUUAAUUCCUUGUGUUAGGAAUUAAUUAAAUGUAUUAAUUAAUGGAAUAAUCCAUGCGUUGCCGGUUGCCUUGAUUUAGCAACCGUUCCUUGUAACCGACUCUGUACUCGGGGUAUAAAUACCCCGCAUCUUCAAUCAAUAAUAAUUGUUCCAUCAUUCUGUCACUUUCACUGUUUUACACGUUAUCAGCACUCGCUCUGCCGAGAGCGACAGAGAGCCACGAGAAAGGUCAGAAUGGCAGGAAGAGAGUUGUCUGCACUUGCUUUUGCUUUCGCACGCUUCCUGCAGAAAGAGAACACCCGCUUCCCUCGCACUCAGCGCCACCGCAUUGCACGUCGCCAUCAGGGUCUUGGUGCAAGGAAUGGCCCUCAUCGCCGUUCCUUCACCAGGAACCACCGCCAGAACCGGAGUGGCCCUCAUCGCCGCUUCUUCGCCGGGAACCACCGCCAGAACCACCGCCGUGGGUAUGCACGUCGAGGCAACCAACCACUUCGUGGGCGUGCACCAACGGUGCACCAGGCUGGAUCCUCGACUCCGGCCACCGCUCCACUACAACAGGCUGGUGUUGUAGAUAUGCCCUAGAGGCAAUAAUAAAUUAGUUAUUAUUAUAUUUCUUAGNNNNNNNNNNNNNNNNNNNNNNNNNNNNNNNNNNNNNNNNNNNNNNNNNNNNNNNNNNNNNNNNNNNNNNNNNNNNNNNNNNNNNNNNNNNNNNNNNNNNUGGAUAAUAAACUAUUAUCUUGAUACAGGAAUUAUAAUAAUAACUAUGCAUUUAUUAUUGCCUCUAGGGCAUAAUUCCAACAGUGCCUUCUAGUUGCACUGUCUGUACCCAGACAGUUUAUAACUCUUCCGCUGGCUUGUAUUUGUAUGACUGCUAUUAUGGGUCGAGAGACCUUAAUGUGUAAUAUUAUGUGUGUGGCUCUUNNNNNNNNNNNNNNNNNNNNNNNNNNNNNCUUCCGAGCCUCUUAAAUAAAGCUUGUAUGUUUAUGGUUAUGUUGUGAUGCCAUCGAUGUAUCUAUACAUAUCGGUAUGCCAUGCGUACGUGUGUCUUACUUGGUAUGUAUGGGGUUCGAAUACCUAGUCGUGAACUUUAGUAGCACUCCUUACAAGGAAAUGCCCCUUUGUGAUCCAACGAGCCUUGGUAGUUCGCUACUGCUCCGGACACAUUGGUUGACCGGCAUGUGUCCUUCUUAGCUGCUGUGUCUGUCCCCUUUGGGGAAAUUUCACGCGAUGUAAUGGAGUCCUUGUAGCUUGCUACGACUCGUCUACAUUCGCCGAUGACCGACACCUGCUUUGUUGGGUCAUGUAUGCCUGUCCUUGUGCGGUACUGCCACUUUGGUUUAUGACUAGACAUGUCGAUCCGGGUUCUUUGACAUUGGAUUGCUAGCGACACUAUCGCAUACGUGAGUCAAAAGACGCAAACGGUCCCGGCUAAGGUAAGGCUGCAGCCGUGGAGUUAACCGUGCGUGAGACCACAAAGGGAUGCGAUGUGUUACAGGCUAGAUUCCUAUGGCUUAGGAUCGAGGUCCCGACACUUUAAAAUAUCCAUUUGUACUUAACGGUCUUACGACCAUCAAGUAGUUCUUCCAAAGUCUACACUUUGUUUUCAUACAUGGAUCCUCUCUCGGAUUUCAUGGCCUCCAGCCAUUUAUCGGAAUUCGAGCCCACCAUCGCUUCUCCAUAGCUCGUAGGUUCAUUGUUGUUCAACAACAUGACCUCCAAGACAGGGUCACCGUACCACUCUGUAGCAGUACGCGACCUUGUCGACCUACGAGGUUUGUAGUAGCUUGAUCAGAAGCUUAAUGAUCACAAUCAUUAGUUUCCACUUCAAUUUGCGUAGGCGCCACAUGAACAAAUUCCUGCGCCCUGCUACACACUAGUUGAAGUGAUGGUUCAAUAACCUCAUCAAGUUCCACCAUCCUCCCACUCAGUUCUUUCGAGAGAAACUUUUCCUCGAGAAAGGACCCGUUUCUAGAAACAAACACUUUGCUUCCGGAUCUGAGAUAGGAGGUAUACCCAACUAUUUUGGGUGUCCUAUGAAGAUGCGUUUAUCCGCUCUGGGUUCGAGCUUAUCAUGCUGAAACUUUUCCACAUGAGCAUCGCAGCCCCAAACUUUUAAGAAACGACAGCUUAGGUUUCUCCAAACCAUAGUUCAUACGGUGUCAUCUCAACGGAAUUACGUGGUACCCUAUUUAAAGUGAAUGUGGUUGUCUCUAAUGCCUAACCCAAAACGAUAGUGGUAUUUCGAUAAGAGACAUCAUAGUAUGCACCAUAUCAAAUAGGGCGCGGCUAUGACAUUCAGACAAACCAUCACACUAUGGUGUUCUAGGUGGCAUGAACUGCAAAACAAUUUCCACAUUGUCUUAACCGUGUACCAAAACUCGCAGCUCAGAUAUUCAUCUCUAUGAUCAUAUCGUAGACAGUUUAUCCUCUUGUCACGAUGAUCUUCACUCUGGAAUAGCUUUGAACUUUUCAAUAUUUCAGACUUGUGAUUCAUCAAGUAAAUACUCAUGUAUCUACUCAAAUCAUCAGUGAAGUGAGAACAUAACGAUAUCCACUGCGUGCCUUAGCACUCAUUGGACUGCACAUAUCAAAAAUCUAUUGCAUCCAACAAGUUACUUUCUUGUUCCAUGUGGUAUGAUUUUGCAUGUCUCAAGUGAGUUAAAAUCAAGUGAUUCCAAACGAUCCAUCUGCAUGGAGUUUCUUCAUGCGUUUAUACCAACAGGUAUGGUUUCCAUGUCUCAAACGUUUCAAAAAUGAGUGAGUACAAAGAUCCAUAAGCAUGGAGUUUCUUCAUGCAUUUUACACCAACAUGACUCAAGCGGCAGUGCCACAAGUAAGUGGUUCUAUCAUUAUUACUUUGUAUCUUUUGGCACCACUAUUAUGAAUAUGUGUAACACUACGAUCGAGAUUCAAUAAAUCAUUGAAGGUAAUUAUUCAAGAAAAUAGAAUAACCAUUAUUCUCUUUAAAUGAAUAAUCGUAUUGCAAUAAACACGAUCCAAUCAUGUUCAUGCUCAAAGCAAACACCAAAUAACAAUUAUUUAGGUUUAACACCAAUCCCGAUGGUAGAGGGAGCGUGCGAUGUUUUGAUCACAUCAACCUUGGAAACACUUUCAACACGUAUCGUCACCUCGCCUUUAGCUAGUCUCCGUUUAUUUCGUAGCUUUUAUUUCGAGUUACCAAUCACUUAGCAACCGAACCGGUAUCUAAUACCCUCGUGCUACUAGGAGUACUAGUAAAGUACACAUCAAUAUCAUGUAUAUCAAAUAUACUUCUGUUGACUUCGCCAGCCUACUCAUCUACCAAGUAUAUAGGGUAGCUCCGCCUCAGUGACCGUUCACCUCAUAACAAAAGCACUUAAUCUCGGGUUUGGGUUCAAUCUUGGGUUUCUUCAUUAGAGCAGCAACUGGUUUGUCGUUUCAUGAAGUAUCUCUUCUAGCCCUUGCCCUUCUUGAAACUAGUGGUUUUACUAACCAUCAACAAUUGAUGCUCCUUCUUGAUUUCUACUUUCGUAGUGUCAAACAUUGUGAAUCGCUCAAGGAUCAUCAUAUAUAUCCUUGAUAUGUUAUAGUUCAUCACGAAGCUCUAGCAGCUUGGUGGCAGUGACUUUGGAGAACCAUCACUAUCUCAUCUGGAAGAUUAACUCCCACUUGAUUCAAGCGAUUGUUAUACUGAGCACAUGCUCAACGAUUGAGCUUUUCUCCUUUACUUUGUAGACAAAGAAUCUUGUUGGAGGUCUCAUACCUUUCAACAAGGGCACGAGCAUGAAAUCUCAAUUUCAUAUCUUAGAACAUCUUUUAUGUUCCGUGACGUUUCAAAAUGUCUUCGGCGUCUUGCAUCUAAGCCAUUAAGUAUUACGCACUGAACUAUCACGUAGUCAUGAAAAAUGUGUAUGUCAGAUGUUCGCAACAUCCACAGACGACGCUUGAGGUGCAGCACACCGAGUGGUGCAUUAAGGACAUAAGCCUUCUACGCAGCAAUGAGGACAAUCCUCAGUUUUACGUACUCAGUCCGCAAAGUUACUACUAUCAUCUUUCAACUAAAUUUUCUCUAGGAACAUAUAAAAAAACAGUAGAGCUAUAGCGCAAGCUACAUCAUAAUUCGCAAAGACCUUUUGACCAUGCUCAUGAUAAUUAGUUCAAUUAAUCAUAUUACUUAAGAACUCCCACUCAAAAAAUACAUCCCUCUAGUCAUUUCAGUGGUGCAUGAUCCAAAUCCACUAACCCAAGUCCGAUCAUCACGUGAGUUGCGUAUAGUUUCAGUGGUAAACAUCUCUAUGCUAAUCAUAUCAACUAUAUGAUUCAUGCUCGACCUUUCGGUCUCUUGUGUUCCGAGGCCAUGUCUGCACAUGCUAAGCUCGUCAAGUUUAACCCGAGUGUUCCGCGUGUGCAACUGUUUUGCACCCGUUGUAUGCGAACGUUGAGUCUAUCACACCCGAUCAUCACGUGGUGUCUCGAAACGACGAACUGUCGCAACGGUGCAUAGUCGGGGAGAACACAAUUUUAUCUUGAAAUUUUAGUGAAGGAUCACGUUAUAAUGCUACCAUCGUUCUAAGAAAGAUAAGGUGCAUAAAAGGAUUAACAGCACAUGCAAUUCAUAAGUGACAUGAUAUGGCCAUGAUCUUGUGCUUCUUGAUCUCCAUCACCAAAGCACCGACAUGAUCUUCAUCGUCACCGGCACCACACCAUGAUCUCCACCAUCGUGCCGCCAUCGAGGUUGUCGUGCUAUAUACGCUAUCACUACUAAAGCUACAACCUAGCGAUAUAGUAAACGCAUAUGCAAACACAAACGUUAGUUUAAAGACAACCUUAUGGAUCCUGCCAGUUGCCGUAGCAUCGACGUGCAAGUCGAUAUUUAACUAUUACAAAAUGAUCAUCUCAUACAUCCAAUAUAUCACAUCAUGUCUUUGGCCAUAUCACAUCACAUGCAUACCCUGCAAAAACAAGUUAGACAUCCUCUAAUUUGUUGUUGCAUGUUUUACGUGGCUCCUAUGGGUAUCUAGUAUGAUCGCAUCUUACUUACGCAUAGCCACAACGGUAAUAUGCAAAUUGCUAUUUAACCUUUCUCCAAGGACCGCCUCGGUCAAAUCCGAUUCAACUAAAGUUGAAGAAACAGACACCCGCCAGUCAUCUUUAUGCAACAAGUUGCAUGUUAGUCGAUGAAACCGGUCUCUUGUAAGCGUACGAUUAAGGUUGGUUUGGGCCGCUUCAAUCCAACAAUACCGCCGAAUCGAGAAAAUACUAAGGAGGGCAGCAAAUUGAACAUCAAUGCCCACAAAAACUUGUUUGUUCUACUCGAGAUUACAUCUACGCAUGAACCUAGCUCAUGAUGCCACUAUUGGGGAACGUUUCAUGGGAAACUAAAAAAUUCCUACACACACGAAGACCUAUCAUGGUGAUGAUCAUCUACGAGAGGGAGAUCGGGUCCACAUACCCUUGUAGAUCGCUAAGUGGAAAUGUUAAGAAACGUGUAUGAUGUAGUGGUAUGUCUUCACGAUCCGUCCCACGAACCGUCUCACGAUCCGUCCCGAUCAAGUGUUGAACGGACGGCACCUCCGCGUUCCGCACACGUACAGCUCGAUGACGAUCUCCGCCUUCUUGAUCCAGCAAGAGGGGCGGAGAGGUAGAUGAGUUCUCCAGCAUGGCGAUGUGGUGGUGGUGUUGGUGGUGCUAUUCCAGCAGGGCUUCGCCUAAGCACCGCUGAAACUAGAGGAGAAACAGAUCUAGAGAGAGAGGGCAGCACGUGGCUGUUUCUGUUGUCCAAAAACCCUCAAAACCCUUAGUAUAUAUAGGAGGAGAGGAGGGAGAGGGUUGCGCCCUAGAGCAACCUUCUCUUCCCUUGCGCAAGGGAGAGGAGGAGGAGUCCUACUCCAAUCCUAUUUGGAGUAGGAUUCCUCCUUCCCACUUGGAAACUCUUUCCACCUUGUGUUUUUCCUUCUCAAACCUUAUGGGUCUUAGUGGGAACUUAUUCGAGCCCACUAGGGGAUGGUUUAUCUCUUGCCACAGCCCAUAAGGCCUCUUGGGGCGUGACACCCCUCCCGAUGGUCCCCGGCACACCUCCCGGCACUCCCGGUACACUACCGAUGAGCCCGAAACUUUUCCCGUGACCAAAACAGGACUCCCUAUAUAUCAAUCUUCAUUUCCGGACCAUUCUGGAAACCUUCGUGAUGUACGGGAUCUCAUCCGGCACUCUGAACAACCUUCGGUCACCAACACAUAUAACUUAACUAUACCGAAACAUCACCGAACUUUAAGUGUGUAGACCCUGCGGGUUCGAGAACUAUGUAGACAUGACCUGAGACACUCUUCGGUCAAUAACCAACGGCGGGACCUCGAUGUUCAUAUUGGCUCCUACAUAUUCUACGAAUAUCUCUAUCGGUUGAACCUCUAUGUCAAGGAUUAAUAUAAUCCCGUAUACUAUUCCCUUUGUCCUUCGGUAUGUUACUUGCCCGAGAUUCGAUCGUUGGUAUCUCCAUACCGAGUUCAAUCUCGUUACCGGCAAGUCUCUUUACUCGUUCCAUAAUACAAGAUCUCGUGACUAACUCCUUAGUCAUAUUGCUUGCAAGGCUUGUUGUGAUGUUGUAUUACCGAGUGGGCCCCCUAGAUACCACUCCGUCACAUGGAGUGACAAAUCACAGUCUUGAUCCAUGCCAACCUAAUAGACACCUUUGGAGAUACGUGUAGAGCACCUUUAUGGUCACCCAGUUAUGUUGUGACGUUUGAUACACACAAGGCAUUCCUCCGGUGUCCGGGAGUUGUGAUACGUCCAUUUUGCAUCAUGUUUUCAUGUUGAUAUUUAUUGCUUCUUGGGAUGUUAUAUUACUUGUGGUGCCAUAUUUAUGCCUUUUCGCUCUUAUUUUGCAAGGAUUAUUUGAAGAGGGAGAAUUCAGGCAGCUGGAAUUCUGGACUAGAAAAGGAGCAAAUCCUAGUCCACUAUUCUGCACAUCUCCAAAUGCCCUGAAAAUUUUCGUGGAUUUUUUCUAGAAUAUAUUAAAAAUACUGGGCGAAAGAACUACCAGAGGGGGCCACCAGGGCCCCACAAGCUUGCCCACCGCCGCCGCCCCCCUGGUGGCGCACGGCAGGCUUGUGGGCAGCCCACUGGCCCACUAGCCCCCCUCUUUUGCUAUAUGAUGCGUCCUGACCUGGAGAAAAUCAUACAGGAGCUUUUUCGUGGUUUCCCCGCCGCCACAGGGCGGAACUUGAGUAGAUCCAAUCUAGAGCUCCGGCAGGACGAUCUUGUCGGGGAAAUUUCCCUCCCGGAGGGGGGAAUCAUCACCAUCUUCAUCACCAACACUCCUCUCAGCGGAGGGGAGGCAUCUUCAUCAACAUCUUCAUCGGCACCAUCUCUUCUCCAAUCCCUAGUUCAUCUCUUGUAACCAAUCUUCGUCUCGCAACUCAGAUUAGUACUUGUAAGGUUGCUAGUAGUGUUGAUUACUCUUUGUAGUUGAUGCUUGUUGGAUUACUUGGUGGAAGAGUUUAUGUUCAGAUCCUUGAUGCUAUUCAUUACACCUCUGGUCAUGAUUAUGAUUAUAUCUUGUGAGUAGUUACUUUUGUUCCUAAGGACAUGGAAUAAGUCAUGCUGAUAAUAGUCAUGUGAAUUUGAUAUUCGUUCAGUAUUUUGAUAUGAUGUAUGUUGUUUUUCCUCUAGUGGUGUUAUGUGAACGUGGACUACAUAACACUUCACCAUAUUUGAGCCUAGAGGAAGGCAUUGUGAAGUAGUAAGUAGAUGAUGGGUUGCUGGAGUGACAGAAGCUUAAACCCCAGUUUAUGCGUUGCUUCGUGAGGGGAUGAUUUGGAUCCACUAGUUUAAUGCUAUGGUUAGACUUUGUCUUAAUUCUUCUUUUGUAGUUGCGGAUGCUUGCUAGAGAGGUUAAUCAUAAGUGGGAUGCUUGUCCAAGUAAGGUCAGUACCCAAGCGCCGGUCCACCCACAUAUCAAACUAUCAAAGUAACGAACGCGAAUCAUAUGAACAUGAUGAAACUAGCAUGACAGAAAUUCUCAUGUGUCCUCGGGAGCAUUUUUCCUCCUAUAUGACUUUGUUCAGGCUUGUCCCUUGCUACAAAAGGGAUUGGGCCACUUGCUGCACCGUUGCUACUACUUGUUAUUUGUUACUCUUUGCUUGCUACGUUUCACCUCGCUACACAAUCACUUGUUACCGCUACUUUCAGUGCUUGCAGUUAUUACCUUGCUGAAAUUCGUUUAUCACAGCCUUCUGCUCCUCGUUGGGUUCGACAAUCUUACUUAUAGAAAGGACUAUGAUUGAUCCCCUAUACUUGUGUUGGAAAUAUGCCCUAGAGGCAAUAAUAAAUUAGUUAUUAUUAUAUUUCUUUGUUCAUGAUAAUCGUUUCUUAUCCAUGCUAUAAUUGUAUUGAUUGGAAACACAGUGCAUGUGUGGAUACACAGACAAAACACAGUCCCUAGUAAGCCUCUAGUUGACUAGCUCGUUGAUCAAAGAUGGUCAAGGUUUCCUGACCAUAGGCAAGUGUUGUCACUUGAUAACGGGAUCACAUCAUUAGGAGAAUCAUGUGAUGGACUAGACCCAAACUAAUAAGACGUAGGAUGUUGAUCGUGUCAUUUUGUUGCUAUUGUUUUCUGCGUCUCAAGUAUUUGUUCCUAUGACCAUGAGAUCAUAUAACUCACUGACACCGGAGGAAUGCUUUGUGUGUAUCAAACGUUGCAACGUAACUGGGUGACUAUAAAGAUGCUCUAUAGGUAUCUCCGAAGGUGUUCGUUGAGAUAGUAUGGAUCGAGACUGGGAUUUGUCACUCCGUGUGACGGAGAGGUAUCUCGGGGCCCACUCGGUAAUACAACAUCACNNNNNNNNNNNNNNNNNNNNNNNNNNNNNNNNNNNNNNNNNNNNNNNNNNNNNNNNNNNNNNNNNNNNNNNNNNNNNNNNNNNNNNNNNNNNNNNNNNNNNNNNNNNNNNNNNNNGGUAAACGAGAUUGAAAUAGGUAUGCGGAUACUGACGAUCGAAUCUCGGGCAAGUAACAUACCGAAGUACAAAGGGAAUGACAUACGGGAUUAUAUGAAUCCUUGGCACCGAGGUUCAAACGAUAAGAUCUUCGUAGAAUAUGUAGGAUCCAAUAUGGGCAUCCAAGUCCCGCUAUUGGAUAUUGACCGAGGAGUCACUCGGGUCAUGUCUACAUAGUUCUCGAACCCGCAGGGUCUGUACACUUAAGGUUCGACGUUGUUUUAUGCGUAUUUGAGUUAUAUGGUUGGUUACCGAAUGUUGUUCGGAGUCCCGGAUGAGAUCACGGACAUCACGAGGGUUUCCGGAAUGGUCCGGAAACAAAGAUUGAUAUAUAGGAUGACCUCAUUUGAUUACCGGAAGGUUUUCGGAGUUACCGGGAAUAUACCGGGAAUGACGAAUGGGUUCCUCGGAAUGUACCAGGAAUGACGAAUGGGUUCCGGGUGUUCACCGGGGGGGCAACCCACCCCGGGGAAGCCCAUAGGCCUUGGGGGUGGCGCACCAGCCCUUAGUGGGCUGGUGGGACAGCCCAAUAAGGCCCUAUGCGCCAUAGGAAGAAAAUCAAAGAGAAAAAGGAAAAAAGAAAAGGGGAGGUGAGAAAAAGGGGAAGGACUCCACCUUCCAAACCUAGUUGGAUUCGGUUUGGAAGGGGAGGACUCCCCCCCUUGGCUCGACCGACCCCCAAGGCAAGGCCCCCCUCUCCCACCUAUAUAUACGGAGGUUUUAGGGUUGAUUUGAGACAACUUUGCCACGGCAGCCCGACCACAUACCACCAUGGUUUUACCUCUAGAUCGCGUUUCUGCGGAGCUCGGGUGGAGCCCUGCUGAGAUUAGAUCACCACCAAACUCCGGAGCGCCGUCAUGCUGCCCGAGAACUCAUCUACCUCUCCGUCUCUCUUGCUGGAUCAAGAAGGCCGAGAUCAUCGUCGAGCUGUACGUGUGCUGAACGCGGAGGUGCCGUCCGUUCGGCACUAGAUCGUGGGACGGAUCGCGGGACGGUUUGCGGGGCGGAUCGAGGGACGUGAGGACGUUCCACUACAUCAACCGCGUUUCUUAACGCUUCUGCUGUGCGAUCUACAAGGGUACAUAGAUCAAAUAUCCCCUCUCGUAGAUGGACAUCACCAUGAUAGGUCUUCGUGCGCGUAGGAAAAUUUUUGUUUCCCAUGCGACGUUCCCCAACAACUUGUGGGUCAUCAAGACUCUUUUCUGGCGCCGUUGCCGGGGAGUGAAGCGCCUUUGGUAAGUGGAAAUUGGUAAGGAAACAAUUUUAUACUGUGCUGAAAUUUAUUGUCACUUGUCACUAUGGAAACUCUUCCUUUGAGGAGUUUGUUCGGGGUAUCUUCACCAUGAACGGAAGCACGAGGAUUUGCUCCUCAACCUGAGGUACCUACUGAAAAUAUCUUUUAUAAAAUUCCUUUGGGUAUGCUUGAGAAAUUGCUGGCUAAUCCUUUUACAGGAGAUGGAUCUUCACAUCCAGACUUUCAUCUAAUCUAUGUAGAUGAAGUUUGUGGUUUAUUUAAGCUUGCAGGUUUGCCCGAGGAUGAGGUAAAGAAGAAACUCUUUCCUUUAUCUUUGAAGGAUAAGGCAUUGACAUGGUAUAGGCUAUGUGAUGAUACUGGAUCAUGCAGCUACAAUCGGUUGAAAUUGGAAUUUCAUCAAAAGUUCUAUCCCAUGCAUUUAGUAUAUCAUGAUCGGAACUUUAUUUAUAACUUUUGGCCUCGUGAUAGGGAAAGCAUAGCUCAAGCUUGGGGGAGGCUUAAAUCAAUGCUAUAUUCAUGCCCCAAUCAUGAGCUCUCGAGAGAAAUCAACACUCAAAACAUUUAUGCUCGGAUUUCUCAUGAAGAUCGUACCAUGCUUGAUACUUCUUGUGCCGGUUCUUUUAUGAAGAAGAAUAUUGAUCACAAGUGGAAUUUAUUGGAGAGAAUCAAACGCAACUCUGGAGAUUGGGAGCUGGAGGAAGGUAAGGACUCAGGUAUGAAUUUCUAUUUUGAUUGCGUUAAAUCUUUUGUUGAGACAAACACUUCUAGAGAGCGCUAAGUAUGGACUUGACUCUGAGAUAGUAGCUUCUCUUUGUAAAUCUUUUGCUGCUCAUGUUGAUCUUCCCAAAGAGAAGUGGUUUAAAUAUCAUCCUCCUGUAGAAAGCAACAUAGCCAAAACCAAUCUAGUUGAGGAGAAAAUCAUAGCUUUUAGUGAUCCUGUUGUUCCUUGUGCUUACACUGAGAAACCACCAUACCCUGCUAGGAUGAAGGAUUAUUCUAAAGCUCCAACUGUGAUACGUAGGGGUUACAUUAGACCACUUGCACCCCCUGAAGAGAUUAGAGUUGAACCUAGUGUUGCUAUUAUCAAAGAUCUCUUAGCCAAAGAGAUAGAUGGGCAUGUUAUCAAAUUCUGUGAGGACUCCGCUAGAAUUGCUAAACCUCACGCGAAAGACAAGCACGGACCUGUAGUUGGCCUGCCCGUUGUUUCUGUUAAGAUAGGAGAUCACUGUUACCAUGGUUUAUGUGAUAUGGGAGCUAGUGUUAGUGCAAUACCCCGUUCUCUAUAUGAUGAAAUCAAAGAUGAGAUUGCACCAGCUGAGAUAGAACCCAUUGAUGUCACUAUCACGCUAGCUAAUAGAGACACUAUAUGCCCUUUGGGAAUUGUGAGAGAUGUAGAAGUCCUGUGUGGUAAGACGAAGUAUCCUACUGAUUUCCUCGUCCUUGGUACUACACAAGAUAGCUUUUGUCCCAUCAUAUUCGGUAGACCCUUUCUCAACACUAUCAAUGCUCACAUUGAUUGCAUUAAGCAGACUGUCAUAGUAAGUUUCGAGGGUGUGUCUCAUGAAUUUAACUUCUCCAAGUUUGGAAGACAACCCCAUGAAAGAGAUUCAUCUGGUAGGGAUGAAAUCAUUGCUCUUUCCUCUAUUGCCAUACCUCCUACGAAUCCUUUAGAGCAAUAUCUGCUUGAGCAUGAAAAUGAUAUGCAUACGGAGGAGAGAGAUGAGAUAGAUAGAAUUGUCUUAGAACAAUGUCCUAUUCUCAAGAAUAAUCUGCAUGUUGAACUGCUUGGGGAUCCUCCCCCACCAAAGGGUGAUCCUGUGUUCGAGCUUAAACAGUUGCCUGAUACUCUUAAGUAUGCCUAUCUUGAUGAGAAGGAGAUAUAUCCUGUCAUUAUUAGUGCUCUCCUCUCAGAGCGUGAAGAGAAGAAGUUACUAAAAACUCUGAGGAAGCACCGCGCUGCUAUUGGAUAUACUCUUGAUGAUCUUAAGGGUAUUAGUCCUACUCUAUGUCAGCACAAGAUUAAAACCGAUCCUGACUUUAAACCAGUUGCUGAUCAUCAAAGGAGAUUAAAUCCUAAGAUGAAAGAGGUCGUUAGAAAAGAAAUAUUAAAGCUUCUGGAAGCAGGAAUCAUUUAUCCUAUUGCUCAUAGUGAUUGGGUAAGUCCAGUACAUUGCGUACCUAAGAAGGGAGGUAUCACCGUCGUUCCUAAUGAUAAGGAUGAACUAAUCCCACAAAGGAUUAUUACCGGCUAUAGAAUGGUGAUAGACUUCCGGAAACUGAACAAGGCAACCAGGAAAGAUCAUUAUCCUUUGCCGUUCAUCGACCAAAUGCUAGAAAGGCUAUCAAAGCACACACACUUUUGCUUUCUAGACGGUUAUUCAGGUUUCUCGCAAAUACCUGUUGCAUAAUUUGAUCAAGAGAAAACCACCUUCACCUGCCCUUUCGAUACCUUUGCCUAUAGAUGUAUGCCUUUUGGCUUAUGUAAUGCACCUGCCACCUUUCAAAGAUGUAUGAUGGCUAUAUUCUCUGACUUUUGUGAAAAGAUUGUCGAGGUUUUCAUGGAUGACUUCUCCAUUUACGGGUCUUCCUUUGAUGAUUGCCUCAGCAACCUUGAUCGAAUCUUACAGAGAUGCGAAUAAACCAACCUCGUCUUGAAUUGGGAGAAGUGCCACUUUAUGGUUAAUGAAGGUAUCGUCUUAGGACACAAAAUCUCUGAAAGAGGCAUUGAAGUUGAUAAGGCUAAGGUUGAUGCAAUUGAGAAAAUGCCUUGCCCCACAGAUAUCAGAGGUAUACGAAGUUUCCUAGGUCAUGCUGAUUUCUAUAGAAGGUUCAUUAAAGACUUCUCUAAGAUUUCUAGGCCUCUUACCAACCUCUUGCAGAAGGAUGUUCCUUUUGUUUUUGAUGAGGAUUGUGAGGAAGCCUUCGAAAUACUUAAGAAGGCUUUGAUAACCGCACCUAUUGUUCAACCACCUGACUGGAACUUUCCCUUUGAAAUCAUGUGUGACGCUAGUGAUUAUGCUGUUGGUGUUGUUCUAGGACAAAGAGUUGACAAGAAGUUGAAUGUCAUUCACUACGCUAGUAAAACUCUAGACAGUGCCCAAAGGAACUAUGCCACUACGGAGAAGGAAUUUUUAGCACUCGUGUUUGCAUGUGAAAAAAUCAGAUCUAACAUAGUUGACUCCAAGGUCACUAUUCACUCUGAUCAUGCUCCUAUUAAGUACCUUAUGGAGAAGAAGGACGCUAAGCCUAGGCUUAUCAGAUGGGUUCUCCUGCUACAGGAAUUUGAUUUGCACGUCAUUGACCGAAAGGGUGCUGAUAACCCUGUAGCAGAUAACUUGUCUAGGCUAGAGAAUGUCCUUGAUGACCCACUACCAAUUGAUGACAGCUUUCCUGAUGACCAAUUAAAUGUCAUCCGCACUUCACUUAGUGCACCAUGGUAUGCCGAUUAUGCAAACUAUAUCGUAGCCAAAUACAUACCACCCAGUUUCACCUAUCAACAAAAGAAGAAAUUCUUCUUUGAUUUGAGACACUACUUUUGGGAUGAUCCUCACCUUUAUAAGGAAGGAGUAGAUGGUGUUAUUAGACGUUGUGUGCCUGAACAUGAACAGGGACAGAUCCUGCAGAAGUGUCAUUCCGAAGCCUACGGAGGACACCACGCUGGAGAUAGAACUGCCCAUGAGGUAUUGCAAUCAGGUUUCUAUUGGCCCACUCUCUUCAAGGAUGCUCGUAAGUUUGUCUUGUCUUGUGACAAAUGCCCAAGGAUAGGGAACAUCAGUAAGCGUCACAAGAUGCCUAUGAACUAUUCACUUGUCAUUGAACCAUUUGAUGUCUGGGGCUUUGAUUAUAUGGGACCCUUCCCGAGUUCCAGUGGGUACACUCACAUCUUAGUUGUUGUGGAUUACGUUACUAAGUGGGUAGAAGCUAUCCCCACUAAAAAUGCUGAUCACCACAACUCUAUUAAGAUGCUUAAAGAAGUUAUAUUCCCAAGAUUUGGAGUCCCUAGAUACUUGAUGACUGAUGGCGGUUCACACUUCAUUCAUGGUGUUUUCCGCAAGAUGCUAGCUAAGUAUGAUGUCAACCAUAGAGUUGCAUCUCCUUAUCAUCCUCAGUCUAGUGGUCAAUUGGAGUUGAGUAAUAGGGAGAUCAAGUUGAUCUUACAAAAGACCGUCAAUAGAUCCCGAAAGAACUGGUCUAGCAAACUUGACGAUGCACUAUGGGCUUAUAGGACUGCUUAUAAAAAUCCCAUGGGCAUGUCACCGUAUAAAAUGGUUUACGGUAAGGCCUGUCAUUUACCUCUUGAGUUGGAACACAAAGCUUAUUGGGCAAUCAAAGAGCUCAACUUUGAUUUCAAACUUGCCAGUGAGAAGCGGUUGUUUGAUAUCAGCUUGUUGGAUGAAUGGAGAGCCCAGGCAUAUGAGAAUACCACGUCGUCAAGGAAAAGGUUAAGAGAUGGCACGACAAACGAAUACAGAAACGAGAGUUCAAUGUAGGUGAUUAUGUCUUGCUAUACAAUUCUCGUUUGAGAUUCUUUGGAGGCAAGCUUCUCUCUAAAUGGGAAGGUCCCUACGUUGUCGAGGAAGUAUAUCGUUCCGGUGCCAUCAAAAUCAAUAAUACAAGGAAAUUUUCCUAGAGUGGUAAAUGGGCAAAGAAUCAAGCAUUACAUCUCUGGUACUCCCAUAAAUGUUGAGACCAAUAUCAUCAAUGUCAUAACUCCACAGGAGUACAUAAGGGAUGUUUAUCAGCCUGUUUCAGACCUUGAAAACGAAGAUGUAUCUGUUUCGGCAAGAAAUUGGACUCCGAUACUUUUCCAAUAGGAAAUUUCCUCAGUUUUGGAAUUUUUGGAAAAUUAGAAAAAUAAAAAAGCAGUCCGGAGAGCAAACGAGGAAGCCACAAGGGCCCACUCCGCCACCACCCCCUGGUGGCGGUGGGCAAGCUUGUGGGCACCUUGUGUGCCUCCCGGACUCCGUUUUCUUGCAGAGGACUCCUUCUGGCCCAGAAAAAAUCAAUAUAUAGUUGCCCGAAGGUUUUGAUCUUCAUAUCGCGUAGUUUUCCUCUGUUUUCGUUUCGAGCUUGUUUCUGCCGCAGAUCUAGAUCAUCAUGACUUCCCCAAACGCUCCUAAGGACAAGAUCUUGGAGAAGGUCAUCAAUCCCUACCUCACGGAAGUGCUAAAACACCAUCAAUCUAUCAAGAUGAGCGAGGGGAUGUUGCACAUCCGUGAUGUUGAGGGGCCUAAGAAGACCGGAAGCAUGGAGACGAGGCUCGAAGUAGUGGAGCAACAAGUCUUCAUGUGCCAAGGGAUGGUUGAGCGUGGACUCAACGCCAACCACACGAUGAUCACGGAGUUCACUAGCAAUCACAAGAUGGAUGUCAUUGAUAUCGGGAAACACCUCUCCAGACUUUACGAUAGGGUUGACCAACUUCAGGGCCAAAUCUAUGACCUGCAGAAUCAAAACUGUGAGUAUGGGUAUAGAUUUAAAUCAAUAAGGUUGGCUGCAGAUUUGAGGAUUUCGGCUACUCGUUCAUCCUGCCAUGAUGGAGCACCUAUGCCUUGGAAGACGGAGGAUCAGACUACUCCAACAACACCACCAUCAUCACCAAAGGAAGACAACUAAGCAUUGGUAUGGGCAAUCCCCUUGGCUUCUGCCGAGCUUGGGGGAGUUGCCCUGGUAUCAUAUCACCUUUAUAUCUUUUGCUUUUACCUUUGUUUUAGUUCUUUCCCUUUCAGUUUUUAUUUCUUCUUUUAGAGGAAUAAGUCUUUAGUUUUUAGUUUGAGUCUUUUGCUUUUGGUCUCUCCCCCGAUGUAUUCGAGCUUACGAGCUAUAUAAUAAAGAGUGUCUUAGUCAAAGGGCUUUGCUUUGUGCCAUGAUCAAAAGUAUGAAAAGAACGAUAGCAUGAAAGAUCAUGAGACGAUCUUAUGGAAAGUGAUAACUUCACUUAUGACACGUAUGAUGAUUGAAACUUGUCGAGAAUAAAUCAACACAUACCUCAGUCAUUGUUGCAAUUAAUAAGAAGUAAUAAGGAAAGAGAGGUUCACAUAUAAAUAUAUCAUCUUAGACACUUUCUACAAUUGUGAGCACUCACCAAACUAUUACAUGCCUAGGAGUAGAUGUUGGACAAGGAAGACAACAUAAUGAAUUGUGUUUGCUUGGUUCCAAACAAUGUUAUAUGAUUAGAGAUCCCUUAGCAUGUGACGAUUGCUUCCACCUCAUAUUAGCCAAAACUUCCGCACCAAGUAGAGAUACUACUUGUGCAUCCAUAAACCUUCAACCCAGUUUUGCCAUGAGAGUCCACCAUACCUACCUAUGGAUUGAAUAAGAUCCUUCAAGUAAGUUGUCAUCGGUGCAAGCAAUAAAAAUUGCUCUCUAAUAUGUAUGAUCUAUUAGUGUGUGGAAAAUAAGCUUUGUACGAACCUGUGAUGAGGAAGACAUAAAAGCGACAGACUGCAUAAUAAAGUUCUUUGUCACAGGAGGCAAUAUAAAGUGACGUUCCUCCGCACUAAGAGGACACGCAUUCAAACCUCAAAAGUGCAUGACAACCUCUGCUUCCCUCUGCGAAGGGCCUAUCUUGUACCUUUACUUUUACCCUUGUAAGAGUCAUGGUGAUCAUCACCAAUUCCCUUUUUGCCUUCGUCUUGGCUACCGUCACAUGCUUGGAAAAGAUCUAUAUUCAUAUAUCAACUUGGAGUUGAGUACUCAUGCUUUAUUGUUGUUGACUUUACCCUUGAGGUAAACCGUUGGGAGGAAAAACUAUAAGCCCCCAUCUUCCUCUGUGUCGAGCUGAAGCUUUGACACCAUGAGUACCACGUGAGCUAUAAAAAUUGUGGAAAACAAAAGAGAUGAUUGAGUAUGUGGGUUUGCCUUACAAGCUCUUAUUUGACUCUUUCUGAUGUUGUGAUAAAUUGCAAUUGCUUCAAUGAUUAUGGACUAUUGUUGGUUACUUCUCGGUAAGGUUUUUGCUUCAUGCUUUGCUUUGUGAAGGAAUUGUUACUUUCCCAUAAGAAUCUUUAUAUAUAUUGUUGUUCUAUGUGUGAUCAUGAUGCCCUCAUGUCUGUAUUAUGUUUUAUCGACACCUUCGUCCCUCAACAUGUGGACGUGUUUAUGGAACUUGGUUUUCGCUUGAGGACAAGCGAGGUCUAAGCUUGGGGGAGUUGAUACGUCCAUUUUGCAUCAUGUUUUCAUGUUGAUAUUUAUUGCUUCUUGGGAUGUUAUAUUACUUGUGGUGCCAUAUUUAUGCCUUUUCGCUCUUAUUUUGCAAGGAUUAUUUGAAGAGGGAGAAUUCAGGCAGCUGGAAUUCUGGACUAGAAAAGGAGCAAAUCCUAGUCCACUAUUCUGCACAUCUCCAAAUGCCCUGAAAAUUUACGUGGAUUUUUUCUGGAAUAUAUUAAAAAUACUGGGCGAAAGAACUACUGGAGGGGGGCCACCAGGGCCCCACAAGCUUGCCCACCACCACCACCCCCUGGUGGCGCACGGUAGGCUUGUGGGCAGCCCACUAGCCCACUAGCCCCCCUCUUUUGCUAUAUGAUGCGUCCUGACCUGGAAAAAAUCAUACAGGAGCUUUUUCGUGGUUUCGCCGCCACCACGGGGCGGAACUUGAGCAGAUCCAAUCUAGAGCUCUGGCAGGACAAUCCUGCCGGGGAAAUUUCCCUCCCGGAGGGGGGAAUCGUCGCCAUCUUCAUCACCAACACUCCUCUCGUCGGAGGGGAGGCAUCUUCAUCAACAUCUUCAUCAGCACCAUCUCUUCUCCAAUCCCUAGUUCAUCUCUUGUAACCAAUCUUCAUCUCGCAACUCAAAUUGGUACUUGUAAGGUUGCUAGUAGUGUUGAUUACUCUUUGUACUUGAUGCUUGUUGGAUUACUUGGUGGAAGAUUUUAUGUUCAGAUCCUUGAUGCUAUUCAUUACACCUCUGGUCAUGAUUAUGAUUAUGUCUUGUGAGUAGUUACUUUUGUUCCUGAGGACAUGGAAUAAGUCAUGCUGAUAAUAGUCAUGUGAAUUUGAUAUUCGUUCGGUAUUUUGAUAUGAUGUAUGUUGUUUUUCCUCUAGUGGUGUUAUGUGAAUGUCAACUACAUAACACUUCACCAUAUUUGGGUCUAGAGGAAGGCAUUGGAAAGUAGUAAGUAGAUGAUGGGUUGCUGGAGUGACAGAAGCUUGAACCCCAGUUUAUGCGCUACUUCGUGAGGGGUUGAUUUGGAUCCACUAGUUUAAUGCUAUGGUUAGACUUUGUCUUAAUUCUUCUUUUGUAGUUGCGGAUGCUUGCGAGAUAGGUUAAUCAUAAGUGGGAUGCUUGUCCAAGUAAGGGCAGUACCCAAGUGCCGGUCCACCCACAUAUCAAACUAUCAAAGUAACGAAUGCGAAUCAUAUGAACAUGAUGAAACUAGUAUGACAGAAAUUCCCGUGUGUCCUCGGGAGCGUUUUCCUCCUAUAAGACUUUGUUCAGGCUUGUCCCUUGCUACAAAAGGGAUUGGGCCACUUGCUGCACCGUUGCUACUACUUGUUACUUGUUACUCUUUGCUUGCUACGUUUCACCUCGCUACACAAUCACUUGUUACCGCUACUUUCAGUGCUUGCAGUUAUUACCUUGCUGAAAUCCGUUUAUCAGAGCCUUUUGCUCCUCGUUGGGUUCGACACUCUUACUUAUCGAAAUGACUACGAUUGAUCCCCUAUACUUGUGGGUCAUCAAGUUGCGUGAUCACAUGGUCAUAGGAACAGAAACAUUGACAUGCAGAAAAAUAGUAGCAAUAAACUGACACGAUCAUAUGCUACAUUUAUAGUUCGGUUCUUGUCCAUCACAUCAUUCUCCCAAUGAUGUGAUCCCGUCAUCAAGUGACAACACUUGCCUAUGGCCAGGAAACCUUGACCAUCUUUGAUCAACGAGCUAGUCAACUAGAGGCUCACUAGGGACAGUGGGUUGUCUAUGUAUCCACACAUGUAUUUGAGUUUCCAAUCAAUACAAUUCUAGCAUGGAUAAAUAAAUGAUUAUUACGAACAAGGAAAUAUAAUAAUAACCAAUUUAUUAUUGCCUCUAGGGCAUAUUUCCAACAAUUUCUAUGUAAAAGGUGCGGAUAGUACCUCAUUCUCGUCUAUCCCAAGCUGAGGUAUGUCACCGACCCUAUGCUCAUCCAUGCAUACAAAAUUAUCCACUGGAGCCCUGAAUAAUUUUUUAUAGUAUUCAAAGAUAUAUUGUUUGAGAUUCUCAUGUCCCACAAUUGUACCCUCAUCUUGUUCUAGCUGGAUAAUUUUUUUAUUCCUAUGCUUUCCAUUAGCUAUUAGAUGGAAAUGUUGUGUGUUGUCAUCUCCUUGUACCACUUGGAGGACUUUCGCUCUUAGUGCCCACUUCAACUCCUCCUCUCUGAGUAGUUGUUUGAGCUUUAGUUCAGCCUCCAUUUUUCAAUGACCUCUCAUUGUCACCUAAUAACGUUUGUUCGGCUUUUAUGUCUAGUGUGUUUAUAAGUUUAUAAGUUCGACAAGCCUUUGUUUCUUUUUCUUAUAAAUUACACUAUCGUGCUUUUCCCAACCCCUUAAGAAUUGCCUCAGGUGUCUUAUCUUAUUUUGCCACCUGUCAACAUUCGAGUCACCUUCUGUGAAAUAGCCCAUUCUCAAACCCGUCCCUUUCAAACCAUCCCAAUUCGAAAGAAAAAAGGUUUUUAUUUCCCACAUGUGUUGCUUCUCGCGAGUCUACAAACAGUGGGGUAUGAUCAGAGAUAGCUCUUGGUAACUCUCAAACUGUGACGAGAGGGAAUUUCUGCUCCCAUUCCACACUCAUGAGAACCCGGUCCAACUUCUCAAAAGUUGGGUUAGGUAAAGAGUUUGCCCAAGUAAACUUUCUCCCUGAUAGCUCAAUCUCCCACAAAUUAAGGCUCUCGAUGAUUGAAUUAAACAUAAAUGACCAUCUUCCAUCAAAGUUAUCACUGUUUUUCUCAUCCUGCCUCCAGAUUAUAUUAAAAUCGCCCCCUACUAAAAUCGGCAGUCUCUCGUCCCCGCAGAUUCGGACAAGGUCAGCCAAGAAAUCUCUCUUGAACUCAGGCUGGGCCGCCCCAUGCACAUCUACGAGUGCCCAUUGGAACCCGUCAUCUUUGGAGCGAACUCAAAAUUUGACUGCAAAGUCUCCAUACACCACUUUCGUAGUUGUGGUGUCUCGCACCGAACCCCAAGCAAGAUCCCACCUGAUCUUCCUCUUGGAGGUAGACAAUGCCAGUCAAAUUCAGAACCUCCAUACAACGUGUUUAAAAACGAAGCUAUAUAGUUAUCUCUCCCAGUUUCCAUCAAUGCAACGAAAUCCAAUUUGUGCUCAAUAGUUGUUUCAGCUAGGAAUCUUCUUUUAGCCAAGUCUGCUAGACCUCUGCUAUUCCAAAAUGUUCCUUUCAUCGCUCAUCAUGAAAUUUCUUAGCCGUUUUAAAUCUAGCACUACGACGCACAGCUGAAACAGGAUAGACUUUUCUCUUCCAGGUUCUUUUUGGCCUAUCCUGAACCUCCGACCGAUCCACAUAACCGUUGGACUCUUGUGCGUUAGCAUUCGUUUGUGGAGGAGCCUCAUACCCCUCCUGAACGAUAUCAUUUGUGUCUUCAAGCAAAAGGGGGGUGGCACAAGAUCCUCACAUAAACGCUCUAAGGCUCCCAAACCCAAUGCAUUUAUAUCAGAAUCAUUCAUAGGUUUUACGGCUGCAAUUUUUCUGACCAUCUCAAUUGCCCUCUCUGCCUCUAAGUCUAACAUGUCAUUUACCGAUCUAGAUAUCUCCUGGUCUACCAAACGCUAGAAUAAGGCCUAGUAACGGGCCCGACCCAUGCCAUUUUGGCCCAUGACUGCAACCAAACACACCCUUAAGUAACUUCUACAAUAUCCAUCCCCAACUUCCAGAAAUUCUAACACUUAAAAAAUCAAAAUCAAACUAUUGGCAUUUAAAACUUUCAUACAUUUCAUUUCUGAAAAAAAUGGUCUUUUAGAUUUCGAAAUAUCAGUAUUAUAUUUUUUACAAAAUUUAACUUUAAGAAUUUUCAAAAUUAUAAGGAUUCAAAAUUCAAAUGUUUUAGCACUUAAAAAAAUUCAAACUUUAAAAAAAUUGAACUUUCAAAUGUUUUGAAUUUUAAGAAGUGUGAACUUUCAUUUUUUUAUAAAGGAUGGGUUUUAUUUACUCAAAAUAAAGCAUCAAGAGCAUACAAAUACAAUAAGAACACACCCGGCCACUUUAUAACUAGGAUGCACACAACCAACUCAAACUCACACACACAAAAAUACGAUCGGUAAAUAGCAAAGUCAUAUAAGACCAAAGCUAUGUGCGCGGUUGGAAAAAGAAACCAAAGCGACCAUAUUGGCAAUGGACAAACUACAACAAUGACCAUAUCUGCACCAACAAUUUCAUUACACCACACGGACAACGAGGUUCCUCAACAAUGACACCUUCAGAAAGGGAGCGACGCUCAAAUGCCGCUAUCAUCGGAUCCAACCAUCCAAGGUCAGAUGCAAGAUUUUCACUCUGAGAAUCAGUCCAAGCAUGUCCGAGCAAUUCCUUCAAUAAGGUAAUGGCGUAAAAACAUCGCCAUUGCCAGGUACAGCCAACUCGAGUUGGACCUAGGCUUUCACCCGGGAGCUCAAGACCGGGUGCUCGAGAAGCACCACCAUCGAAGUCACUAUGUGUUGUUGCCACUACUUUUCCACAAUCUCAGUAGCUAUAUGCGAUGUGUGACCGCUGAUGCUGCACAACCAUCCCUCUACAUCAAGCCAUCAUCAAUAGUUUCAAUCUCACCGUUGAAGUCAACCAUCGGAUCUCCAAGAUCAAUCAUGAAGACCUUUUGAUGGAUACUACAUCAAUCCGCCGCGAGACCGCCACCGUAGUCAUGGUGGUCACCACACGUUCGUCGUCACGCCCCUAGCAGACCUAAAGGUCCACACCAAGGAACCACGGGUCCACACGCAUGGAGCCAUGGAUGUGUGUGUGGAUCAUGAAACGACCAAUCCAUGGCCAUGGCCAUUAGAUGAGACUAUCCCUGGCUGAUGGCAGGUGUCCAAGCCCUGCCGACAUGGCCACUACACCAUGGGCGCCAUCCCACAUGAAGGAGCCACCAGGCGGAGCAGCGACCACAAGUGAGGCGAGAUCUACACCAGCAAUGGCUGGAUCAUCCAGGUAACUGUCCGCUGGAUCUGUGGUGACAUCGUUGGAGGAAGCACGGGGUAGAGAGUGUGAAUCUGGGUUGGGGGAGAGGGGAAGGUCGGGGAAGAAGAUCCCUGUGGCGGUUGAGUCCCGCCGCCGCUGACAAACUGUCAUCGAUGAUGACGACGAGGAUGGAACAUCGGAGGCGGCCUCGAGUGCUAGGGUUUCUCGCCCCCGGUGUCGCCCUGGAGCAACACGGGAGGCCGAUGGCGAUUUCAUAGGAGAGAGAGAGAGAAGGUUGAGAAAUAGAAUCACAUGGUUGGGCAUGUGAGGAAAGAGAGAGAUGGAAAGAAGCACAUGGAUGAGGCCCCCUCGUCCUAUCUACCACAUGGUAACCUGACACAGUCACAUGCAAUGCUUGCGGCAAUGACCAUGGGCACAGUUCCCACAAGAGAGCAUUCUUAGAGUAAUAGCGAGUCUCAUCCUCAUGUUGGAUGCCUAUAUAAAGCUUCUCCUUUCCAACAUUCAUCAUACGAAUUGGCCAAAAUUUCUUUCUCAUUUGUGAUCUUUCAUCACAUUCAACUUUCCUUUGUAUAUAUUGUUGCUAAGCUUCAAAUUCUAAUCAGCUGGAGCUAAGCAAUGAAUUCUUCAUGCCAUCGAGCAUUCCUCGUGAGGAACAUCUUUUGUACUUUGGAAUGAGUGGUAUCGAGAAAUUAGUCAGGACGACUUUCUGAGGCUGAGGCGCCGCUUUUUUCUGUUCUCGUCUCUGAGACGUUGAGGUGGUAGACAUUUAUGAUAAGUGCAUUUCUUGUUGAGAAUAGCAUCGAUAAUCAUGUCUAGUCUAACAACUUGCUCAUUUAGGACUACCCUGGACAGUGCAACAAGUAAAAUACCAAAUCCUUGUACAAAAACAAGUUGUUGCCCUGUGGUGAGGAGUUGAAGCUAUGGCAUGAACUCGUCCAUGUGUGCGGUAUUUCUCCUUGUUGUUUCCAUCGUCUCUAGAAAUCGCUAAAAAGAUCAAAAACAAUAUCAAACCGUUGACACUAUGUGUCUACCAUCUCACACAAAUUCGAACCCAUAUCCAUCGCAGAUCUCCAAAAACAAACAAACAAGACGGAUCCAGUGUUGAACAGCAUAGCAACUAAUUCAAAUCAGCACAUGAACACAUCAUAUCAUCAGCACCAACACAAGAUUGUUUUUUUUUCUCUUUUCUUCAAACAAUAUCCUGAUUAAGGUUUAAAUAUUCUUGUGGCGUUGUAAAUACAUGUUGUGUGUCAGAGACAUAAUUCUUUUUCAAAUAAAAAAACAUAACUUUUUUUACCACAAAUUUUUCUAGGCUUAUGUGUGUGUAUCUUCCUUGUUUCAGUUCCAAGUGACAAGAGGCAAACUUGUCACGGUUGACUGAAUAGAACAGUAGCAAUCGACCUGCCCGGAGCUUCUAUUUUUUGUAGGUGAUUUUCUCUGUUAAGAGUGACUUCUUCUUUUUUGAGAGUUUUGUUAAGAGUGACAUGAAAUCUGCAUAUGGCGAUCGAGCACGCAUGCCGGCGAUCCCACACGGCGCACCGCAGCCACAAGCCGAUCGCCCCCACAAAAUCUGCCCGACGGCUCCCACCGGGAUGGGAUUCCCCGGUGCCAAUGGCGCGCGCCCACCUCACCCCCUCUUAUCCCCGCCUCACCCACUCGCGCCACGCCCCUUAUCCCCUCCUCUUACAAACCCACACAAACUAAUCAUCGCCCACCACCCUCCAACGAUCACCAACCAAAACCCCUCCACACGCCCGCCCGCGCGCGCCACGGACGCAGCAAUGGCCGCCCUCGCCGCCUCCAUCGCCACCUCCACGGCGUUCGCCGCGAAGCCGCGCCUGUCCCGCCCGCCGGCGCGCCUCUCCGUCUCCUGCUCCGCGUCCAGCGGCGACAACAACAACAGCACCGCCACCCCCUCGCUCUCCGCCUCCAUCAAGACCUUCUCGGCCGCGCUGGCGCUCUCCUCCGUGCUCCUCUCCUCCGCCGCCACCUCCCCGCCCCCCGCGGCUGCCGACAUCGCCGGCCUGACCCCGUGCAAGGAGUCCAAGGCCUUCGCCAAGCGGGAGAAGCAGUCGGUCAAGAAGCUCAACUCGUCGCUCAAGAAGUACGCGCCCGACUCCGCCCCGGCGCUCGCCAUCCAGGCCACCAUCGACAAGACCAAGCGCCGGUUCGAGAACUACGGCAAGUUCGGCCUGCUCUGCGGCUCCGACGGCCUGCCCCACCUCAUCGUCAGCGGCGACCAGCGGCACUGGGGCGAGUUCAUCACCCCCGGCGUGCUCUUCCUCUACAUCGCCGGCUGGAUCGGCUGGGUCGGACGCAGCUACCUCAUCGCCGUCAGCGGCGAGAAGAAGCCCGCCAUGAGGGAGAUCAUCAUCGACGUCGAGCUCGCCGCCAGGAUCAUCCCCAGGGGCUUCAUCUGGCCCGUCGCCGCAUACCGCGAGCUCAUCAACGGCGACCUCGUCGUCGACGACGCCGACAUCGGCUACUAAGAAGCUGCCAUGCGUGCGUGCGUGCGUGGUUGGCUAGUCGGUCCCAAGUCAGGU
rnacentral:lncRNA from 1 species